UCUAUGUUCAUCCAGGAUGACCCCAAACCUGCUGCACAGCUGGUGGCACAGAGAGCAGGCUGUCCCAGUGAUGACUCUGCAGAGCUCAUGACCUGCCUCAGUACCCUCAGCCCACAGGACAGAGAGGUGGCUACACCUGCACUAGUAGAUAUGUUCUGAGCCUCACACUCACCCUAUAGUGUGUGGGGUGUAUGUAUCCGAAUGCCAGGCUGUUUCUGCUUUAGCUAACUUAUACUGUUUUGUGUGGUUGAAUGCAACAACAUGGCUGUUGUUUGACUUCCAUUCUGGGGCCCAUCUUCUCUCUCCACAGGGGGAGAUGGUUCUGUCUGUGCACAGGGAUGGAACAGUCAUCCCUACCAACCUGGAGGAAGUCCUGCAGACCAAGAGCUUCUUGGGCUUCCCCAGCAUCCUAGGGAUCAACAACCUUUUUCCUGUUUCCUGGCUGGGAUCUUGGAAUGACCCAUGAAAACAUGAUGAUUAUGAUCCUGGUGUUUAUGCUUCAAAAACUGCAUCAGCCAGACUCUGCCCUGGGGAUCAUCGUAGAGGAGACAUGGUGACAUGAAUGACCCCGUGGGGAACAGGGAUGCCUCUACUGAUUGUGGUCCCAGGGGGUGUAGAGAUACAUUACACACGUGUCUAUGCAAGAUUCUGGUUGCUUGAUCUACUAUGAGUUCCAGCAGCAUUCCUCCAUGGUCACAUCAGCAGACCAGGCUUUGUGAAAGCAGACCACUGAGAUAACACGACAGAGGAGGAACGACAGCUUAGCAGGACCAUGAUGAAAUACUGGACUAACUUUGCCAGAACAGGUAACCCUAAUGGAGAGAGUGUGUUUGAUUGGCCGACAUUCACUACAGAUCCAGGCCAACCUCGGGCUGGGCAGUGUCUCAGAAAAGAAGAGAGCCCAGUUCUAGAGAGAAGACUUCCCCAAAGGACUGCAGACUGCUGGACACAGACGCACAGUGACCUGUAGAACUGAAUGUUCACUAUGUCAAAAUGUUGUUCUAGGAGUGUCCAUGUUGUUGCCCUCCACUCCAGUGAUGCCAAGCAGUUUGCAAUUAGGUUACAGUAUAUGAGGCUUUCUUAGCCAAAAUAUGACACAAAAUAAGGAAAAGGCUAUUUUAAUAUUCCAGAUUUUCUUUCAUGGUUUGGUCUUUUUUUAAAUAUUUUAUUUAGCCAUUUUUUACCAUUUAUGUAGUCUAUUUUUAUCUUGCUGUGUUCAUAUG